CCGAGAAAGAGUCGACGGGAUCUGGGCGGGACCGAAUCGCCUCUACUGCUUGCACUUCAUUACUCUGAAAUCUCCAUGAUCCACCUGGACGACCGCUUGAUAGCUCAGGUUUCCACAUUUCUCCCCCAACUGCCACUGGUCAGCCAAACAGUAGUCCCACCCAAAAUCUCUUGUGGCCUGUAGUACAAAGUGGGUUCAACCAUUUGACCAGAAGUGCCAGGGUCUAUUUAUCUAAGCAUGCCUCGGAAUGCAACCGGACACUCGGACCCAGAUGAUGCAAACCCCCCGGAUGUGGGAACGGACCAUUAAAAUCUUCAAAACAUUCCUAAGGUCUUCAUUAUUGAUUCAUUACCGCUCGGACACAUACAUACAGCUGAACAAACAUCAUUUGUCAUCCCCGGAGGUCAAAGGUUGACGUUGGAAUUUCACAUAUGCCGGUUUUCACAUCUGGAUAGGUCACCGGGUC